ensembl:lncRNA
UCUGCAACAGUGGUUUUGAUUGUUGUCACCAAAGUAGUGUCUCUGAAAGUUAGUCCCUGUGAGGGAGUUGAGGGAGUGGAUACUGCUACAAAUGUUGAGGUUCUUGUUAUUACUGUAGUAGUACCACUUGUUAAUGGCAUUAUUGGUCUUAGAGUAGUGACAUCACUUGUGACUGUCGAUGUAGCAGUGGGAGUUGUGGCAUCACUUGAAGUGACUGUAGACGUAGUUGAAGUAGUGGUGGCAUCGCUUGAAGUGACUGUGGAUGUAGUUGAGGGAGUGGUGGCAUCACUUGAAGUGACUGUAGACGUAGUUGAAGUAGUGGUGGCAUCACUUGAAGUGACUGUGGAUGUAGGUGAAGGAGUGGUGGCAUCACUUGAAGUGGAUGUUGAUGUAGUUGAGGGAGUGGUGGCAUCACUUGAAGUGACUGUAGAUGUAGUUGAAGGAGUGGUGGCAUCACUUGAAGUGGAUGUUGAUGUAGUUGAGGGAGUGGUAUCUUCAUUUGAAUUGGGUGUUAAUGUAAUAUUACUUGAAGUCAAUGUAGUAGUGGUGGUAUCACUUGAAGUUACUGUCAAUGUAGUUGAAUGAGUGAUGACAUUACUUUGAGUGACUGUUGAUGGAUUGGUGGCAUCACUUGAAGUGACUGUUGAUGUAGUUGAGGGAGUGGUGGUAUCACUUGUAGUGACUGUUGAUGUCAUUGAGGGAAUGGUGGCAUCACUUGAAGUGACUAUUAAUAUAGUUGAGGGAGUGGUGGAAUCACUUGAAGUGACUGUUGAUGUAGUUGAGGGAGUGGUGGCAUCACUUGAAGUGACUAUUAAUAUAGUUGAGGUGGUGGUGGAAUCACUUGAAGUGACUGUUGAUGCAGUUGAGGGAGUGGUGGCAUCACUUGAAGUGACUGUUGAUGUAGUUGAGGGAGUGGUGGAAUCACUUGAAGUGACUGUUGAUGUAGUUGAGUGAGUGGUGGCAUCACUUGAAGUGACUGUUGAUGUAGUGGUGGUGGUGGCAUCACUUAG